ACCUGGCUGGCUCAGUCGGUGGAGCAUGUGACUCUUGAUCUCAGGUUGUGAGUUUGAGCCCCAUGUUGGGUG
rnacentral:tRNA from 1 species